rnacentral:misc_RNA from 1 species
AUGGAGAUUCCCAUGGGGACCCAGGGCUGCUUCUCAAAGAGCCUCCUGCUCUCAGGUAAGGAGGAAAUAGACCCUAAAGGCCAAGGGGAGAAAUGGGGACUCAGCCCAGAGAUUGAAGUUUCCUCUUAGAAGUAGGGAAAGAUUACCUGAGAGGAUGAAAUUAGAAUAAGAUGGGGGAGGGGCAACAGAAUCACAGCCUCAUUGCCAUUUUAUCUAUGGAAUUUUCUAUAAUGUUAGGACCAUGAAGGCAGGAAUUUAUGUAUGUUUGGUUCCCUGCUAUAUCUCCAGUGUCUAGAAAUUGAAGGAAGUUUAGAUGUAUUACAUAUAGUUGGUAUUAUAGCUUAUAUAUUACAUAUGCCUAUAAGUAUUGGUUGAAUAAAUGAAUGAAUGAAUGAAUUCAGAGAGUCCAUGUGUUUAGAAGCAGGCCACACAGCAUCUCAAGGUAGAAAAACCUCUGGAUCAACAGGAUGGCAAAUCUGUGGUAACCAUGCCUGUGUUCCCACUCCUGCACCCAGGGCAGACAUCACUAAUCAAUCCCAGCAUUGUUUCCAAUGAGCAGCACUCAGAGUCCUUGCUCCCCGCUGAAGAUCUGUAUCUAGAGAGGAGCAUGCCAUGGUCCCUGGCAACACCCCUGAUCUCAGCCCUUCCCUGUAACUUCCCACAGCCUCAAUCCUGGUCCUCUGGAUGCUCCAAGGCUCCCAGGCAGCUCUCUACAUCCAGAAGAUUCCAGAGCAGCCUCAAAAGAACCAGGACCUUCUCCUGUCAGUCCAGGGUGUCCCAGACACCUUCCAGGACUUCAACUGGUACCUGGGGGAGGAGACGUACGGAGGCACGAGGCUAUUUACCUACAUCCCUGGGAUACAACGGCCUCAGAGGGAUGGCAGUGCCAUGGGACAGCGAGACAUCGUGGGCUUCCCCAAUGGUUCCAUGCUGCUGCGCCGCGCCCAGCCUACAGACAGUGGCACCUACCAAGUAGCCAUUACCAUCAACUCUGAAUGGACUAUGAAGGCCAAGACUGAGGUCCAGGUAGCUGACUGCCUGCUCCGAGGGGCCAGGGAUCUCUGUCCAUCUUGUGCUCGGCUGUAUCCCCAGUGCCUUCAGUGACGCCCAGCACAUGGAUGGCGACCACAGAGAAGCCAGAAUUGGGCCCUGCUCAUGAUGCUGGUGACAACAACAUCUAUGAAGUGAUGCCCUCUCCAGUCCUCCUGGUGUCCCCCAUCAGUGACACAAGGUCCAUAAACCCAGCCCGGCCCCUGCCCACACCCCCACACCUGCAGGCGGAGCCAGAGAACCACCAGUACCAGCAGGACCUGCUAAACCCCGACCCUGCCCCCUACUGCCAGCUGGUGCCAACUUCCUGAUGGGUCCUGGGCCAGGCCAGCCAGGGAGAAGACAAGGCCCCAGCCCUCCUCUGGGAGCCUCACACCUGAGACCAGCAGGACAAGGCCAUUGGGGGCUGUGGGGCCGAUGAGGUGGACUCAGCCAAAGACUCAGCAGCACAUGGGGCAGGUGUCCUGGCAGGGGGACAGGAGACUGUAACAGGCCCAGGUCCUUGUGCAGCCCGUGAAUGCACGCCCGCCUUCGGUCUGUUCCUUCAAGCAAGCUGGCCUGGGCCAUGUGCCUGUGAAAGGCAGGCUCUGGCCCCUUUCCAUGCCAAAGUCCCCCAAGAUCUGGAUAUCUGGGGACAAGAUGGUGGCCUCAGGCCUGCCUCCCAGGCAGUUGGCUGGGCUCCCAACUGUCUGUCCUCAAUGCCCUACCCCAACUCCACUAGUGACCCUCAGAGUCUUCUCCCCUUAGGACAAGGCAGACACCCCACCAUGCGGGCCUCAGGUGGCAGAGAGGCCCAGCCUCACAGGCCUGUGGCCCCACACACCAGUCCCAGCAAGGUGACCACGGCUGCUGGACCCCUUCCCUGUUCAGGCAGGCCCAGCCCCUCUCAGAACCUGCUGCCAGCUGCUGGUCUUGGCCCCCACCCUGAAUCUUACUGAGUCCCUCUGGGCAGCAGCUCCCUUCUCCACCCCACCCCAGCACCCGUCCCAAAUGUGGCCUCAGCUUGUCCUCCCCUUCCCCAAACUAUGCAUUCAUUCAGCAAUAAAUGAGCCUUUGCUGUAUGCCAGACCCAGUUCUAGGCUCUUGCAGCCCUGGUAGAAAGCAAAACAAAAACUCCCGCUUUCCCAGAGGGUCACUUGGCAGGGGAAAGAAUCAGGAAAUAAAAUAAAUAAUGAA